CAUUCGAUCCCUGAUCGGGGAAGAUUCCACAUGCUGUGGAGCAGCUGUGUCUGUGCGACACAACUGUUGAGCUUGUGUUCUAGAGACGGCAAGCUGCGACUACGGCGCCAUUGUGCCACAACUGUUGAAGCCCGCGCACCCUAGAGCCUGUGCUCUGCAACAAGAGAAGCCGCCGCAAUGAGAAGCCCUUGCCCUGCAACCAGAGAGUAGCUCCUGCUCACUGCAACUAGAGAAAGGCCCUCAGGGCAACGCAGACCCAGUACUGCCAAAAACGAAUAAAUGAAUAAAAUGAAUAGUUUAAAGAGACUAGCUCUAAGGAUUAAUCAUUCUGUGGUCAUUUCCCCAAGUACGUGUGAGCCCUUUCAUUUUGUAAUAUGGAAAAUGGAUCAGAAGGAACAGGACUGCAGGAGGAGACAAGAUAAGAUGCUAUUGCAUUAGUCUAGGACAAGAAAAACUUCAACAUGAAUAAACGGUGAAAGCAAAGGACAUGCUGAACACAGAUGCCGCCUCUUCCAGGAACCUCUCCGCAUCGUCCAGG
ensembl:lncRNA